rnacentral:rRNA from 1 species
GAUGAACGCUGGCGGCGUGCCUAAUACAUGCAAGUCGAACGGGGAGUCGCAAUACUCUUCGUGGCGAACGGGUGAGUAACGCGUUGGUACCUGCCCCGAAGCGGGGGAUAACGGACCGAAAGGUCCGCUAAUACCCCAUGUGCUCGGUAACGAGUAAAGGUGAAAACCACUUUGGGGGGGCCUGCGUCCCAUCAGCUAGUUGGUAAGGUAACGGCUUACCAAGGCGAUGACGGGUAGGGGACCUGAGAGGGUGGCCCCCCACAAUGGAACUGAAACACGGUCCAUACACCUACGGGUGGCAGCAGUAGGGAAUAUUGGUAAUGGGCGCAAGCCUGAACCAGCAACGCCGCGUGUGCGAUGACGGCCUUCGGGUUGUAAAGCACUUUUGACUGGGACGAGGAAGGACGGUACCGGUCGAAUCAGCCUCGGCUAACUACGUG